rnacentral:rRNA from 1 species
AACGAACGCUGGUGGCGUGCUUAACACAUGCAAGUCGAACGAGAAAGUUUCCUUCGGGAAAUUAGUAAAGUGGCGCAAGGGUGAGUAACACGUGAAUAAUCUACCCUCGAGAUCGGGAUAACAUGGUGAAAACUAUGCUAAUACCGGAUAAGACCACAUUUCAUAAGAAAUGCGGAAAAAGAAGUCUCAACCUUCACUCGAGGAUGAGUUCGCGGAACAUUAGCUUGUUGGUGAGAUAAAAGCUCACCAAGGCUACGAUGUUUAGCCGGCCUGAGAGGGCGAACGGUCACACUGGAACUGAGACACGGUCCAGACUCCUACGGGAGGCAGCAGUGGGGAAUCUUGCACAAUGGGGGAAACCCUGAUGCAGCGAUGCCGCGUGAGUGAAG